UACAGAGGUGGCAAGCGUUGUUCGGAAUUACUGGGCGUAAAGCGCGUGUAGGCUGCUCUGCAAGUCGGAUGUGAAAGCCCUGGGCUCAACCUAGGAAGUGCACUCGAAACUGCGGAGCUUGAGUCUCGGAGAGGAUCGCGGAAUUCUCGGUGUAGAGGUGAAAUUCGUAGAUAUCGAGAGGAACACCGGUGGCGAAGGCGGCGAUCUGGACGAUGACUGACGCUGAGACGCGAAAGCGUGGGGAGCAAACAGG
rnacentral:rRNA from 1 species